AGAGUUUGAUCAUGGCUCAGGAUGAACGCUGGCGGCGUGCCUAACACAUGCAAGUCGAGCGCGAUUAAGUGGAGUGCGAACUUCGGUUCAAGUGAAGCUUAUGAAAGCGGCGGACGGGUGAGUAACGCGUGGGUAACCUGCCCCAUACAAAGGGAUAGCCACUGGAAACGGUGAUUAAUACCUUAUAAGUCGAUAGUCUCGCAUGAGACAGCCGACAAAGAUUUAUCGGUAUGGGAUGGACCCGCGUCUGAUUAGCUAGUUGGUGAGGUAACGGCUCACCAAGGCGACGAUCAGUAGCCGACCUGAGAGGGUGAUCGGCCACACUGGAACUGAGACACGGUCCAGACUCCUACGGGAGGCAGCAGUGGGGAAUAUUGCACAAUGGGCGCAAGCCUGAUGCAGCAACGCCGCGUGAGUGAAGAAGGCCUUCGGGUUGUAAAACUCUGUCCUAAGGGAAGAAAAAAAUGACGGUACCAUAGGAGGAAGCCCCGGCUAACUACGUGCCAGCAGCCGCGGUAAUACGUAGGGGGCAAGCGUUAUCCGGAAUCACUGGGCGUAAAGGGUGCGUAGGUGGCUUAUCAA
rnacentral:rRNA from 1 species